CUCUCUAUACACACAAUAACUUGUUUUCUUUAUAUAUUAAAACUUGCUUGCCUGCUUAACUUGCUUGCUUAUUUAUUACACUUAUACAGCCGACUUACUUCCACUAUAGUCUAUUCAACGGAAUUUCGUUAACUGGCGGCUUAUUGUUUGCUGGGAAAUAUUUUUUCUUGAGCAAUUGAUAAUUUCUUUGUGUGAAUACAAACGCAAUACCAAUGUAGGCACCAGUAAGCAACGUUACAGUAUACAACGCUAUCUUUAUCUCGAAAUCAAAAUCCAUGAUUCUAGAUAUGAAGGGAGGAAACCAAUAACUAAUUAAGGCUGUAGUAGUUGACAGCUUGAGCAAUAUUACAAAUUUACGACGUUUAACAAUAUUCGAUAUCUGUGCAAUGUUCCUGCUUGCCUUGAGUAUUUGGCGAAUUCGAUAAGCAGUGAGGAUGAACAUUCCAAUAAUGUACAACAAAAGACAACCUUGAAGGCCAUAUACAUCAACAGCAGCUGACCAAUCGGGAGUAAUUCGAGCAUUGAUACAAUCUCCACGAUGAUUAUGGCGUGCUGUAAGGAGCUCUGGUCCACGAUGAUUAUGGCGUGCUGUAAGGAGCUCUGUGAUGAGCUCUCUGAUAAAACCGAUAUCUUUCUGAAUUUAUCGACAGCGAGUUUGAUGGGUUUCUUCGGCCAAAAGAAAAACAAAUUAACAUGGAGUGGAACCCUGAAUGACUUAAAAACAUUUGUGUCAACAAUAAUCGAUGAAAAAGCCGCAGAAAGCGCCGUCUGGCGUCACCAAGCGGCGGCAAGUGGUGUUUCACCUGCGAAGACCUUGAGAUUACGUGGCACUCGAAGAGUGGAGCAAUAAUUUUUGACGGAGUCAAAGCGGGAAAUUUGGUAAAGCGAAUAAAAGAUAUCCUCUCAAAGCCAGACGACGUGGAGAAGACUAUCAACAAAGAUCUUAACAUGGAAGCGAAUACUGAUCGAGGUUCGUCACGCAUCAUUGAAAACGAGGUAUCUAG